GACGAACGCUGGCGGCGUGCUUAACACAUGCAAGUCGAACGAUGAAGAAGAGCUUGCUCUUCGGAUUAGUGGCGAACGGGUGAGUAACACGUGACUAACCUGCCCCUUUCUCUGGGAUAACGCUCCGAAAGGAGUGCUAAUACCGGAUACUCACAUCGAGGCACAUGCCUUGAUGUGGAAAGAUUUUCGGAAAGGGAUGGAGUCGCGGCCUAUCAGCUUGUUGGUGAGGGAACGGCUCACCAAGGCGACGACAGGUAGCCGGCCUGAGAGGGCGACCGGCCACACUGGGACUGAGACACGGCCCAGACUCCUACGGGAGGCAGCAGUGGGGAAUAUUGCACAAUGGGCGAAAGCCUGAUGCAGCGACGCCGCGUGAGGGAUGAAGGUCUUCGGAUUGUAAACCUCUUUCAGUAGGGACGAAGCGAAAGUGACGGUACCUAAAGAAGAAGCACCGGCUAACUACGUGCCAGCAGCCGCAGUAA
rnacentral:rRNA from 1 species